CCUACGGGAGGCAGCAGUGAGGAAUAUUGGUCAAUGGACGCAAGUCUGAACCAGCCAUGCCGCGUGCAGGAAGACGGCUCUAUGAGUUGUAAACUGCUUUUGUACGAGGGUAAACGCAGAUACGUGUAUCUGUCUGAAAGUAUCGUACGAAUAAGGAUCGGCUAACUCCGUGCCAGCAGCCGCGGUAAUACGGAGGAUUCAAGCGUUAUCCGGAUUUAUUGGGUUUAAAGGGUGCGUAGGCGGUCGGAUAAGUUAGAGGUGAAAUCCCGAGGCUCAACUUCGGAAUUGCCUCUGAUACUGUUCGGCUAGAGAGUAGUUGCGGUAGGCGGAAUGUAUGGUGUAGCGGUGAAAUGCAUAGAGAUCAUACAGAACACCGAUUGCGAAGGCAGCUUACCAAGCUACUUCUGACGUUGAGGCACGAAAGCGUGGGGAGCGAACAGGAUUAGAUACCCCUGUAGUC
rnacentral:rRNA from 1 species